GCGGUUUGCGGCAGACUAUACAUGCAAGUCGAACGCACAGCGAAAGGUGCUUGCACCUUUCAAGUGAGUGGCGAACGGGUGAGUAACACGUGGACAACCUGCCUCAAGGCUGGGGAUAACAUUUGGAAACAGAUGCUAAUACCGAAUAAAACUUAGUGUCGCAUGACAAAAAGUUAAAAGGCGCUUCGGCGUCACCUAGAGAUGGAUCCGCGGUGCAUUAGUUAGUUGGUGGGGUAAAGGCCUACCAAGACAAUGAUGCAUAGCCGAGUUGAGAGACUGAUCGGCCACAUUGGGACUGAGACACGGCCCAAACUCCUACGGGAGGCUGCAGUAGGGAAUCUUCCACAAUGGGCGAAAGCCUGAUGGAGCAACGCCGCGUGUGUGAUGAAGGCUUUCGGGUCGUAAAGCACUGUUGUAUGGGAAGAACAGCUAGAAUAGGAAAUGAUUUUAGUUUGACGGUACCAUACCAGAAAGGGACGGCUAAAUACGUGCCAGCAGCCGCGGUAAUACGUAUGUCCCGAGCGUUAUCCGGAUUUAUUGGGCGUAAAGCGAGCGCAGACGGUUUAUUAAGUCUGAUGUGAAAGCCCGGAGCUCAACUCCGGAAUGGCAUUGGAAACUGGUUAACUUGAGUGCAGUAGAGGUAAGUGGAACUCCAUGUGUAGCGGUGGAAUGCGUAGAUAUAUGGAAGAACACCAGUGGCGAAGGCGGCUUACUGGACUGCAACUGACGUUGAGGCUCGAAAGUGUGGGUAGCAAAACAGGAUUAGAUACCCUGGUAGUCCACACCGUAACGAUGAACACUAGGUGUUAGGAGGUUUCCGCCUCUUAGUGCCGAAGCUAACGCAUUAAGUGUUCCGCCUGGGGAGUACGACCCGCAAGGUUGAAACUCCAAGGAAUUGACGGGGACCCGCAAAAGCGGUGGAGCAUGUGUAUUUAUUCGAAGCAACGCGAAGAACCUUAUCAGGUCUUGACAUCCUUUGAAUCUUUAAAAGAUAGAAGUGUUCUCUUCGUAAACAAAGUGGUCAGGUGGUGCAUGGUCGUCGUCUACUUCGUU
rnacentral:rRNA from 1 species